rnacentral:rRNA from 1 species
UGAGGAAUAUUGGACAAUGGAUGGAAAUCUGAUCCAGCCAUGCCGCGUGCAGGAAGACGGCCCUAUGGGUUGUAAACUGCUUUUGUAUGGGAGCAAUAAGGACUACGUGUAGUUUGAUGAGAGUACCAUACGAAUAGGCAUCGGCUAACUCCGUGCCAGCAGCCGCGGUAAUACGGAGGAUGCGAGCGUUAUCCGGAGUUAUUGGGUUUAAAGGGUGCGUAGGCGGCGAUAUAAGUCAGUGGUGAAAUAUUUCGGCUUAACCGAGAGACUGCCAUUGAUACUGUGUUGCUAGAAUAUGGUUGCUGUGAGUGGAAUGUGUGGUGUAGCGGUGAAAUGCUUAGAUAUCACACAGAAUAUCGAUUGCGAAGGCAGCUCACAAAGCCAUUAUUGACGCUGAGGCACGAAAGUGUGGGGAUCAAACA